AGUGAACGCUGGCGGUAGGCCUAACACAUGCAAGUCGAACGGCAGCACAGUAAGAGCUUGCUCUUACGGGUGGCGAGUGGCGGACGGGUGAGGAAUACAUCGGAAUCUACUUUUUCGUGGGGGAUAACGUAGGGAAACUUACGCUAAUACCGCAUACGACCUACGGGUGAAAGCAGGGGAUCUUCGGACCUUGCGCGAUUGAAUGAGCCGAUGUCGGAUUAGCUGGUUGGCGGGGUAAAGGCCCACCAAGGCGACGAUCCGUAGCUGGUCUGAGAGGAUGAUCAGCCACACUGGAACUGAGACACGGUCCAGACUCCUACGGGAGGCAGCAGUGGGGAAUAUUGGACAAUGGGCGCAAGCCUGAUCCAGCCAUCCCGCGUGGGUGAAGAAGGCCUUCGGGUUGUAAAGCCCUUUUGUUGGGAAAGAAAAGCAGCAGGUUAAUACCCCGCUGUUCUGACGGUACCCAAAGAAUAAGCACCGGCUAACUUCGUG
rnacentral:rRNA from 1 species